rnacentral:tRNA from 1 species
UUAGUACAACUAGUACAGAAAAUUUCCAAUUUUCUAGUCUUGGUAAAACCCCAAGAGAAAGUA